CCAGGGGUUGAAACCCCUGGCUAUUACCGGACGCCCCGUUGGGGCG
rnacentral:sRNA from 1 species